rnacentral:lncRNA from 1 species
CUCUUUCUCCUGUUUGGCCGUGUACCAAGUUCCUGCCUGUCUUCUGUCUUCACCCGUGACUUGCCUCAAGUAGUUGGCUCCUUUCCCACCGGCUACUUUGUAACUGCGAAUAUGACAACAUGACGGUGAUUCACAGAUGCCAAAAUAUGACGAGCAGAGCAAAUCUGUGUUCCAGAUAUGAUAAGGUGAGAAAAGCGGAACUCUCGGCCCCAGGUGAUUUCCAUGAAGACACCUACAUACGGCGGGCCUCACUAUCUGUACCAUGCAGCCGCCAACUCUAAUAACCUGGCCAGGAGAGAAACACAUCUAAAAAUGCAAAUGAAUGAAAAAAAUAAAACUGGGUUGCAUAGUAA